ACACUAACUAUCGUAGGCCGAUGGGAAGCAAGUCGUCGGACCGCUCCGAUGCCGUCGAAUUCCUUUCCAUCGUGCGGUUCUAUAAUUGCAUUGUCCCCCACAAAAAAAAAAACUGCUCUGUCAGACCCACGUUGCACCUAUCUAAAUCCAAAUUCCAAAAUAUCCAGCAUCCUCCACCAGAUCGAGAUCUAUUGCUAAGCCCCUCCGCUCUCCGCCAUGAUUAUGCUAAUCCCCACAGCUCCACGGAUCUGCCCACCGCGCCCUCCAAUUUUGGUCGUGAUCUGCGCCUAGACCUGGAAAUACUUCGGCGACUGAAGACAUGCCGUGCCGAUGCGGAAAACCGUGUUCGGGGUAUCCGGCUUGUCAGUUCGUCGUGGUUGCAGCGGCUAUCGAGCACAUCUCAGGUCGUCAGUAGCAGUGGUUUCCAUCCUCUGGCUACAACUUGAGCACGAGAUUACGUUGGUCAAUGUUUCUUGUGUGAAGCACCACCAGUGGGGUGAGCGGCUUCUUCACGCUAUUGGAAGAAGACCAAUGUGCUAGUCCUAGUACCUCAGAGCCAUAGGUCGCUGCUGCAGGUCAUCGACGAGCCUCUUAUGUUCCUGUUGAUACGCAUGUUCCAUCGCUAUGAGAGGUGGACAACAGGCAUUGUGCUAGACGACACAUACCCUGUGACUGAUUCUUAAUAUA